GACGAACGCUGGCGGCGUGCUUAACACAUGCAAGUCGAACGGAAAGGCCCUGCUUUUGUGGGGUGCUCGAGUGGCGAACGGGGGAGUAACACGUGAGUAACCUGCCCUUGACUUUGGGAUAACUUCAGGAAACUGGGGCUAAUACCGGAUAGGAGCUCCUGCUGCAUGGUGGGGGUUGGAAAGUUUCGGCGGUUGGGGCUGGACUCGCGGCUUAUCAGCUUGUUGGUGGGGUAGUGGCUUACAAGGGCUUUGACGGGUAGCCGGCCUGAGAGGGUGACCGGCCACAUUGGGACUGCGAUACGGCCCAGACUCCUACGGGAGGCAGCAGUGGGGAAUAUUGCACAAUGGGCGGAAGCCUGAUGCAGCAACGCCGCGUGCGGGAUGACGGCCUUCGGGUUGUAAACCGCUUUCGCCUGUGACGAAGCGUGAGUGACGGUAAUGGGUAAAGAAGCACCGGCUAACUACGUG
rnacentral:rRNA from 1 species